UGUUAGCAGGGAACACUGUGAUGGGA
rnacentral:piRNA from 1 species